CAAUAGCGUAUAUUAACGUUGUUGCAGUUAAAAAGCUCGUAGUUGGAUUUCUGGAGGGAGCGUCGGCCCGUAUUUACGAGUGCGUGACGUCUCUGUCCAUCCUUGCGGGAAGGCACGGCAUUGAUUUGUUGUGUCGGAUCGCAUCAUUUACUGUGAAAAAAUUAGAGUGUUCAAAGCAGGCUUUCGCUUGAAUACAUUAGCAUGGAAUAAUAAGAUAGGACUUUGGUGCUAUUUUGUUGGUUGAGCCUAAAGUAAUGAUUAAUAGGGAUAGUUGGGGGCACCUGUAUUGCGUUGUCAGAGGUGAAAUUCUUGGAUUUACGCAAGACAAACAGCUGCGAAANGGNNNGCCAAGGAUGUUUUCAUNGA
rnacentral:rRNA from 1 species